rnacentral:rRNA from 1 species
CUCAUUCGGAUUGGAGUCUGCAACCCGACUCCAUGAAGCUGGAUUCGCUAGUAAUCGCGCAUCAGCCACGGCGCGGUGAAUACGUUCCCGGGCCUUGUACACACCGCCCGUCAAGCCAUGGAAGCCGGGAGUGCCUGAAGUGCGUGAGCGCAAGCAGCGCCCUAAGGUAAAACCGGUGACUGGGGCUAAGUCGUAACAAGGUACC